GAGGAAAGAGGGAGGAGUGAAUAAUACAUGCAAGUCGAGCGAACAGAUGAGGAGCUUGCUCCUCUGACGUUAGCGGCGGACGGGUGAGUAACACGUGGAUAACCUACCUAUAAGACUGGGAUAACUUCGGGAAACCGGAGCUAAUACCGGAUAAUAUAUUGAACCGCAUGGUUCAAUAGUGAAAGACGGUUUUGCUGUCACUUAUAGAUGGAUCCGCGCCGCAUUAGCUAGUUGGUAAGGUAACGGCUUACCAAGGCAACGAUGCGUAGCCGACCUGAGAGGGUGAUCGGCCACACUGGAACUGAGACACGGUCCAGACUCCUACGGGAGGCAGCAGUAGGGAAUCUUCCGCAAUGGGCGAAAGCCUGACGGAGCAACGCCGCGUGAGUGAUGAAGGUCUUCGGAUCGUAAAACUCUGUUAUUAGGGAAGAACAAAUGUGUAAGUAACUAUGCACGUCUUGACGGUACCUAAUCAGAAAGCCACGGCUAACUACGUG
rnacentral:rRNA from 1 species